UUCCGGGAAGAGGCCUGCGUCGCGGCGGGGCGGAAGUGGCGCCGCUGGUUUGAAAUCCGCAGAGUCGGCUUCUGCCGGACCGAGCGGCCGAGUGCCAUGUCCACCCCACCGCUGGCUCCCGCAGGCAUGGCGCCCGGGCCCUUCGGCGGCCCGCAGGCGCAGCAGGCCGCGCGAGAGGUCAACACGGCCACGCUGUGCCGCAUCGGACAGGAGACGGUUCAGGACAUCGUGUACCGCACCAUGGAGAUCUUCCAGCUGCUCCGGAACAUGCAGCUGCCAAAUGGUGUCACUUACCAUACUGGAACUUACCAAGACCGGCUAACAAAGCUACAGGACCAUCUUCGCCAGCUUUCUAUUCUCUUCAGGAAGUUAAGACUGGUCUACGACAAAUGCAACGAGAACUGUGGCGGCAUGGACCCCAUUCCCGUUGAGCAACUUAUUCCAUAUGUGGAUGAAGAUGGCUCAAAGAAUGACGACCGGGCUGGUCCACCUCGUUUUGCUAGUGAAGAGAGACGAGAAAUUGCAGAAGUCAAUAAAAUCUCUGAGCCUUGAGGGGAAGGAUGUGAUGAAGACGGUCUGUUUAGGGCUAAGUACUUUCACUGUCUCCACGUUGUCCAGUGAAACUGAAACAGAAGAACCAGCAGCUGAAGCAGAUUAUGGACCAAUUACGGAAUCUCAUCUGGGACAUAAAUGCCAUGUUGGCAAUGAGGAACUAAACUGAUAUUUAAAUCUCUUGCUCUAUGCGUGUGAUACAAUUAGAUUCCCCCCAAGUAUUCUUUCUUUGGAAAGAUUAUUUAUCUCUCUAGUUUAAUGGCUAUCACUGAAGUUCCUGUUUUCAUGUUAUUCGCUGCCUCUUUUUUUUUUAAAUGCUCUUGGUUCUAUACAAGAUUAUUAUAAUAGCCUUUGAUAAGGUGUGAGUUUUGUUUAAUCUUCAUGAAUUGAAUAAUUGCUUUUUAAAAGCAAAAUGAAGCUUAAUACAUAAAUUUUUAAACAUAACCAGUGUGUUUGCUUCUUUUAGUUAUCCUUUUCAAAGAGAGGUAAAGUAUAAAUAUUUCAGCAUAUUACCAACCAAAGUUUAUCUCUGAAAGAAAUUAAUUAAAAUUAAAAAUACAUUACCACCUAA